rnacentral:rRNA from 1 species
GAUGAACGCUGGCGGCGUGCCUAAUACAUGCAAGUCGAGCGAACAGACGAGGAGCUUGCUCCUCUGACGUUAGCGGCGGACGGGUGAGUAACACGUGGAUAACCUACCUAUAAGACUGGGAUAACUUCGGGAAACCGGAGCUAAUACCGGAUAAUAUAUUGAACCGCAUGGUUCAAUAGUGAAAGACGGUUUUGCUGUCACUUAUAGAUGGAUCCGCGCCGCAUUAGCUAGUUGGUAAGGUAACAGCUUACCAAGGCAACGAUGCGUAGCCGACCUGAGAGGGUGAUCGGCCACACUGGAACUGGAACACGGGCCAGACUCCUACGGGAGGCAGCAGUAGGGAAUCUUCCGCAAUGGGCGAAAGCCUGACGGAGCAACGCCGCGUGAGGUAAGAAGGGCUUCGGAUCGGAAAACUCUGUUAUUAGGGAAGAACAAAUGUGUAAGUAACUAUGCACGUCUUGACGGUACCUAAUCAGAAAGCCACGGCUAACUACGUG